AGACCUCAGAUCAGGCAAGGCUACCCGCUG
rnacentral:rRNA from 1 species